CCAGGGUGGAUGUGACUCCUCCGUUCUGCCUGUACCCUCCCCUUCCCAUGCAGAUGUAGUAACCUGCCUUGCACUGGACACCUGUGGCAUCUACCUCAUCUCAGGCUCUCGGGACACCACGUGCAUGGUGUGGCGGCUCCUGCAUCAGGUGUGCCUGGUGGGCAGCUCUGUGGGGUCCCCGUAGCCCAGACCUGCAGCCCAUCCAUCCCUCAGUGGCCUUCCAGUCCUGCCCUCAUGUCUUUCCCUUCCCUUUGCUACCAUGAGCAAGUCUGGGGCUCCAUGACCCUCCAGCUCUCUAGUCUUGGACAAUGCCUUCGUUUCCUGAGCCUUAGGGGACAGUCCUAAGCCAACCCUGGUCCUCCACAGGGUGGUCUGUCAGUAGGCCUGGCACCAAAGCCUGUGCAGGUCCUGUAUGGGCAUGGGGCUGCAGUCAGCUGUGUGGCCAUCAGCACUGAACUUGACAUGGCUGUGUCUGGAUCUGAGGAUGGAACUGUGAUCAUACACACUGUACGCCGUGGCCAGUUUGUGGCGGCACUACGGCCUCCGGGUGCCACAUUGCCUGGACCUAUUUUCCACCUGGCAUUGGGGUCCGAAGGCCA
rnacentral:sRNA from 1 species